GCAGGCCUAACACAUGCAAGUCGAACGGUAACAGGAAACAGCUUGCUGUUUCGCUGACGAGUGGCGGACGGGUGAGUAAUGUCUGGGAAACUGCCUGAUGGAGGGGGAUAACUACUGGAAACGGUAGCUAAUACCGCAUAACGUCGCAAGACCAAAGAGGGGGACCCUCGGGCCUCUUGCCAUCGGAUGUGCCCAGAUGGGAUUAGCUUGUUGGUGGGGUAACGGCUCACCAAGGCGACGAUCCCUAGCUGGUCUGAGAGGAUGACCAGCCACACUGGAACUGAGACACGGUCCAGACUCCUACGGGAGGCAGCAGUGGGGAAUAUUGCACAAUGGGCGCAAGCCUGAUGCAGCCAUGCCGCGUGUAUGAAGAAGGCCUUCGGGUUGUAAAGUACUUUCAGCGGGGAGGAAGGGAGUAAAGUUAAUACCUUUGCUCAUUGACGUUACCCGCAGAGGAAGCACCGGCUAACUCCGUGCCGGCAGCCGCGGUAAUACGGAGGGUGCAAGCGUUAAUCGGAAUUACUGGGCGUAAAGCGCACGCAGGCGGUUUGUUAAGUCAGAUGUGAAAUCCCCGGGCUCAACCUGGGAACUGCAUCUGAUACUGGCAAGCUUGAGUCUCGUAGAGGGGGGUAGAAUUCCAGGUGUAGCGGUGAAAUGCGUAGAGAUCUGGAGGAAUACCGGUGGCGAAGGCGGCCCCCUGGACGAAGACUGACGCUCAGGUGCGAAAGC
rnacentral:rRNA from 1 species